AGGAUGAAGCCUCCUUGAUCAUGGUGAAUGAUCGCUGUAAUGUGUUCUUGGACUCAGUUCACAAGAAUUUUAUUGCAUAUUCUUGCAUCAAUAUUCACAAGGGAGAUUGGUCUCAAGUUCCAGGCCAUCCGGAGCUAUAUAGUGAGACUCUGUUUAUGAAGAGAAUGAAGAGGCUUUGAGAUAUUUUAAGUAGCUGCUUUGCGGACUAGGAACUAGAGAGUAAUGGAAGCAUACGUAAGUACUGCUGAGAGCUCAGUUUCUUCAAAGCAGAGGUAAGCUACAGGACAAAGGGGAUCCUACUGGCUAAUCCCCACAGCAUAACACCUAUCACACUCGAAUUUCAUGCAGAGUUGCCUGUAUUAUGGUCUAAGCAGAGUUUCGUGACCUAAAUUGGCAGAGGUGAUUGAAGAAAGAGAAAGCAUAGUCAUUCACAUGCGAAAGGUCCAGGAAACUGGCUGACAGAAAAGUCAGCCUCCAGUUCAUAAAUCUAUGGCUUGCAACCAUAAAAUGAUUGUCAACCAAGCCAGGGGUGGUGGUGUAAUCCCAGCACCCAGAACACCCAGGCAGGAGGAUUUCUGAGAGUUUGAGACCAGCCUGUCCUACAUAGUAAGUUCAAAACCAGCUUGAGGUACAAACUAAGGCUCUUUCUUUCUCAAAAAAGAAAAGAAAAGAAAGAAGAAAGAAGAAAGAAAAGAAAAACAAAAAUCAACAACAACAAAUAACAACAAAGUCAGUCUACUAUAGUAGGAGUUAUUAGAAUAUUCUAUUAAUGAGUACUGUUUCUUGCUCGUUCAUCUAAACACAUUUUCUUUCUCUUAUUCCUAUUAUUUCUACUUAUUUUUGCCUAUUAUUUUUGUAGGUAACUAUCUACAAAAUCUAAUGGAAUUUUCCCAGAAAAAGGAAAAGGAAAGAAAAGCACUCCCUUGAGCUUAUAAUGUUAAUACACCACGGUCAUCACAACUGUUGAAUCACAUUUCUUGCCCAUUAAGCGCAGCAUAUACAUCAAUGUAAUCUGUACAAAAACCAGGAAACCACUGUCAUGACCAUGUACAGAUUCUUGGAAUUCAGAUGGCCAGGCAGUGCUGUGUAACUGCCUGGAUAUGUCCUAUUCUGGACUGGUUGGACCUGUACUGUAUCACAAAGACGCAUGUGCUGGAGGCUUGGCCCUCAGUCGAUGAAAAGCACCAGAACCUUUGGGAGGCGGGGUCUAGUAAAAAGAAGCUAGGUUUUGGACUAUAGUCCCUGCAGGGGCUACUGAGAGCAUGGUAAUUCUUGCUUACUCAGUUUUCUGCCACACACUCCUGCCAUCAUGUACUAAGCCACCCCACCACAGGGCCAGGUCUUUGAAGCCUUUUCUCCUCAUUAGUUAACUGUACUAGGUAUUUUGCCACAGUGGUUGAAAGCUAACAGAGACUUCCGUAUCACUAGUUCUAGCUUGUCACAUAAAUACUUUUAAAAUUUCAAUAUCCCAAGACUAGAAAGACUUGUUCAGUCCCACAAUAUAUUUUCUGAACAAUAAACAGUAAUGCUUUAAGUAUGAAUAGAGCUCUUUUGUAUUGAUCAUAUUUGUUAAAGGAUAAAAUAUUUCAUACAAAUAAAGAUUCUAGGCUAAAAUAUGGAAUGAAAUAAUUCUCAACUAUAACUGUUUUUAAAGGGUUAUUUUAUUUUUACGAUUAUCUUGGGUUUUCCUUCAGCAGAGAAUAACACACACUAAUAUGAGCAGACCCAGUGCCAACUCAUUAUUCCCAUCCCUAUUAAGGCCAAUAGCCACACACAAGCUAACCUGGAGCACUGUAAGUAAUGAGAGUGUUAAAGCAAGUCCUGCAUAAUUCAUGGAGCCUAAUUCCUCCUCUUCCUUGGCAGUUCUCUCACAGCCAGCUGAAACAAUGCAGAAUGAUUACAAAGAUACAUCGCCUCUGCUGCUGGGGUGGAUGCCUGAUCUAUUAAACCAGCUCAUUUAUUUAAAUAAUCAUCAUCUGUGGCUACUUUGCAUUCCGCGUUGGCUCCCAUGGGAUAAUGUAAUGCAAAUGGACCUUGUUGGAGUUUUGAAAUGAGAUGAUGUCCACACAGUGUCUGCUUCACACGCGCAAGAGGUGGACGAGAGCUCCAGGGUAGGAGGGCACACCCUGGGACUCUCAGAGGUAUGGAGUCACGUUCCUGAUUCUUCAUCUUGGCAACGUGAAGGAGUCUCGUGUCAACAAAAUGAUCCUGGGACUUAGGCAAGCUGUGAGAUGGUUCUAUUUCUGGAUCUUCCAUUGACUCAAUUUGACCUAAGCCAAACUUGUCUAGACUUUCCUCUCUAACUCGAUCACAUGAGAUGAGGAUCAGAAUAACUAUGAGACUCUUCCAGUUCUCAUAUUCAGCCAUUUGCAUUGUCCCACAAACCAUUAGCUUCUGACCAUAUUCUACUAGAUUGCAAGAACAGACUGCAGAGAUUUUCUUACGUUAAUUUUUUUUUGUGUAAAGGUUUUCUAAGCUUUAAUUAACUAACUGAUUAAAAUUUUCAAGGGAAUCAACCUUUUCCUGAAGCCCUGAUACUUCAGGCGGUAUGAUGGAAUAGCAGGAUGGGUGUAGGGUAUGAUGUCAUUAAUAAACCACUUCUCUGGUGAA